rnacentral:rRNA from 1 species
GANGGGGGAUNAACUCUGGCUNUUUNNUGAGACAUGCCAGUCGAGCGCUCACUUCGGUGGGAGCGGCGGACGGAUUAGUAACGCGUGCCAACGUGCCCAGAUCUAAGGAAUAGCCACUGGAAACGGUGAGUAAUACCUUAUACGCCCUUCGGGGGAAAGAUUUAUCGGAUUUGGAUCGGCCCGCGUUAGAUUAGAUAGUUGGUGGGGUAAUGGCCUACCAAGUCUACGAUCUAUAGCUGGUUUUAGAGGAUGAUCAGCAACACUGGGACUGAGACACGGCCCAGACUCCUACGGGAGGCAGCAGUGGGGAAUCUUGGACAAUGGGGGCAACCCUGAUCCAGCCAUGCCGCGUGAGUGAUGAAGGCCUUAGGGUCGUAAAGCUCUUUCGCCAGGGAUGAUAAUGACAGUACCUGGUAAAGAAACCCCGGCUAACUCCGUGCCAGCAGCCGCGGUAAUACCGGAGGGGGUUAGUGUUGUUCGGAANUACUGGGCGUAAAGCGCGCGUAGGCGGAUUGGAAAGUUGGGGGUGAAAUCCGGGGCUCAACCCCGGACUGCNUCCAAAACUAUCAGUCUAGAGUUCGAGAGAGGUGAGUGGAAUUCCGAGUGUAGAGGUGAAUUCGUA